rnacentral:lncRNA from 12 species
AUGGUGUGUGUGCUGGUAAAGAGGUGCACGGCCGCUUGUGGGCCCCGGCUGGGCGUGGGGUCUCAGCGGGCGGCACGGCCUCUCCCCAGUGUACACGUGCUCAAGGGCUGGGGUGAUGCAGUCAGCACAAACCACACUCCCUCGGGCCUCAGGCCUCGCCAGGGGACCUGUGCCGCCAUCCAGGACCCCCAGGUGACGCCCUGGCCUGGCAACUGUGCAGGUGUGGGCCCGAUGUGCCAUGUCUGGGUUGGAAGCAGGGCCCUCUCCACCGUGCCCAGGUAUUUCCUGCACUGUCUGUGCAGCCCUGCGACAAGGGCAGGCCCGCGGCACCCAUGCACUGGGGGGACAACAGGAUGGCUGUGGGUGACCAGCCGCCAGCGCUCUGCCCACCCUGAGCGGCACGCAGCUGUGCCCAGGCCCCGGGGCCAUGCCUGCCUCCGCGGCUGCUCUAGUACCCGAGGGCCAGGUUGGCGGGCCCAAGACAGGCAGGUGGGACCACGGUCUGUUCUGGGCUGGCAGCCCUGGCCUUCCCUUUCGGAAAGGAAGGUGGGGAGGGCAGGGGAGGAGGGUCCUGGAGCAGGACUUCAGAAGGCCUCCCUGCUUUCCUAUCAGGAAACACAUCCUGUUAGUGUCUGGCUGCUGCGGCCCAGCCGCUAUUUGUUGCAGUUGGCUACGCCCUCCAUCCAGCUCACAAAAAACAGCCUUAAAAACAACCAUUUCCUCUCUGCUGGGGGGGCGGGGGGGACACGCGUGCGCGCAUAUGCAGACACACACACACACACACACACACACACACACAUGCGCUUCCCUGCAGCAGGCUCUCUGCUUUCCAGGACCGGCUGUUUCGUGGCAGAGGCACAGGGCAGGGGCUCCUGCAGCGAGAGGCCGAGCGGCUCCCAGCACAGCUCCACCGGCCCGCUCAGAGCCUGGCUGCUGGUUUGCUCCGUCGAGCCAGUUCAAAGGAGAGACGCGGCACAGAUCUCCGUGCUGCCACCCACCUCUCUGGUUUCUUGUGGGGAGAAGAGGCCUCGCUUUCCAGGAAGACGGCGCACACACGACUCUGGGCUGUCGCUGGUGUCCCGGCUUCGUCCCCAGGAUGGGCCGAGAGGCUGGCUGCAGCUCAGGCCUGGCUGUGCUCCAGGUGCAGGAGGGAGGGUAAGGAGGGCCCGAGGUGAGCUCACCUGCACCUGUCACGUGGGCCUUCCCGAUGCCUCUGAGAAUGAGCGGUGA